rnacentral:rRNA from 1 species
UAUGUGAUCGUCUCUCGCAUAUCAAUAAGCGGAGGAAAAGAAACUAACAAGGAUUCCCCUAGUAACGGCGAGUGAAGCGGGAAGAGCUCAAAUUUGAAAUCUUAAAGGGUUUCCCUUUACGAAUUGUAGUUUAAAGAAGUGUUUUCUGUUGAGGUUUUGGUAAAAGUUCUUUGGAAUAGGACAUCAUAGAGGGUGAGAAUCCCGUAUUUGACCUUUACUUUCAACUUUGUGAUACACUUUCAAAGAGUCGGAUUGUUUGGGAAUGCAGUCCAAAAUGGGUGGUAAAUUUCAUCUAAAGCUAAAUAUUGGCGAGAGACCGAUAGCGAACAAGUACCGUGAGGGAAAGAUGAAAAGAACUUUGAAAAGAGAGCUAAACAGUACGUGAAAUUGUCAAAAGGGAAGCGUUUGACACCAGUGUUGUUUUUCUGAAAAUCAAUUAAAGAACUGUUUAUGCUAAGUUGUUUAGACUUUAUCAGCUAACUGUUUAGUUUUGAGCUUUUCUUUAAUGCACUUUUCAGUUAACAGGUCAACAUCAAUUUCUUUUGCUGUAAAAAAGCUUGAGGAAGGUGGCUUGAGAUUCGUCUUAAGUGUUUAUAGCCUCUUGCCUAUGCAGUCGGAGAGAUUGAGGUCUGCAGCGUAGAUCCUUCGGGGCUAAAUGCAUUUGUGCUAAGUUAUAGCAUUUUAUAGACAACUUGUUGACUAUGAUUUGUCUUGUAGCUUACUCGCUUAUGUUAUUUUACCUACGCUUAGGAUGUUGACACACGCGCGUGCUCG